rnacentral:rRNA from 1 species
UACGUAGGGUGCAAGCGUUGUCCGGAAUUAUUGGGCGUAAAGAGCUCGUAGGCGGUUUGUCGCGUCGAAUGUGAAAUCCCGGGGCUCAACCCCGGGUCUGCAUUCGAUACGGGCAGACUAGAGUUCGGUAGGGGAGUCUGGAAUUCCUGGUGUAGCGGUGAAAUGCGCAGAUAUCAGGAGGAACACCGGUGGCGAAGGCGGGACUCUGGGCCGAUACUGACGCUGAGGAGCGAAGGCAUGGGGAGCGAACAGG